rnacentral:rRNA from 1 species
UGAGGAAUAUUGGUCAAUGGGCGGAAGCCUGAACCAGCCAUGCCGCGUGCAGGAAGACGGCCCUAUGGGUUGUAAACUGCUUUUGUAUGGGAAUAAUAAGGGUUACGUGUAACCCGAUGAAGGUACCGUAUGAAUAAGCAUCGGCUAACUCCGUGCCAGCAGCCGCGGUAAUACGGAGGAUGCAGGCGUUAUCCGGAUUUAUUAGGUUUAAAGGGUGCGUAGGCGGCCUGUUAAGUCAGUGGUGAAAGUUUGCGGCUUAACCGUAAAAUUGCCAUUGAUACUGACAGGCUUGAAUGUAGUAGAGGUAGGCGGAAUGUGUAGUGUAGCGGUGAAAUGCUUAGAUAUUACACAGAACACCGAUUGCGAAGGCAGCUUGCCAUGCUACGAUUGACGCUGAGGCACGAAAGCGUGGGGAUCGAACAGG